rnacentral:rRNA from 1 species
UCUACGGGGGGCAGCAGUGGGGAAUAUUGCACAAUGGGGGAAACCCUGAUGCAGCGAAGCCGCGUGAGCGAUGAAGUAUUUCUGUAUGUAAAGCUCUAUCAGCAGGGAAGAAAAUGACGGUACCUGACUAAUAAUCCCCGGCUAACUACGUUCCAGCCGCCGCGGUAAUACGUAGGGGGCAAGCGUUAUCCGGAUUUACUGGGUGUAAAGGGGGCGUAGACGGUCCUGCAAGCCAGAGGUGAAAGCCCGGGGCUCAACCCCGGGACUGCAUUUGGAACUGUAAGGCUAGAGUGUCGGAGAGGCAGGCGGAAUUCCUGGUGUAGCGGUGAAAUGCGUAGAUAUCAGGAGGAACACCGGUGGCGAAGGCGGCCUGCUGGACUGCAACUGACGUUGAGGCCCGAAAGCGUGGGGAGCAAACAGGAUUAGAUACCCCAGUAGUC